rnacentral:rRNA from 1 species
CCUACGGGAGGCAGCAGUGAGGAAUAUUGGUCAAUGGGCGCGAGCCUGAACCAGCCAAGUCGCGUGAAGGAUGACUGCCCUACGGGUUGUAAACUUCUUUUAUAACGGAAUAGAGUUAUGCACGUAUGCCUUUUUUUAUUUACUUUAUCAAUAAGAGUCGGCUAACUCCGUUCCAGCAGCCCCGGUAAUACGGAGGGUGCGGGCGUUAUCCGGAUUUGUUGGGUUUAAAGGGAGCGUAGAUGGGUUGUUAAGUCAGUUGUGAAAGUUUGAGGCUUAACCGUAAAAUUGCAAUUGAUACUGGCAGGCUAGAGUACAGUUGAGGUAGGUGGAAUUCGUGGUGUAGCGGUGAAAUGCGUAGAGAUCACGAAGAACUCCGAUUGCGAAGGCAGCCGAUUAAAAUGCCACUGACACUGAUGCUCGAAAGUGUGGGGAUCAAACAGGAUUAGAUACCCGGGUAGUC